rnacentral:rRNA from 1 species
UACGAAGGGGGCUAGCGUUGUUCGGAUUUACUGGGCGUAAAGGGCGCGUAGGCGGGAUGGCAAGUCGGUCGUGAAAUCCUUCGGCUCAACCGAAGAACGUCGGCCGAUACUGCCGUUCUUGAGGGAUGCAGAGGAGAUUGGAAUUCCUGGUGUAGCGGUGGAAUGCGCAGAUAUCAGGAGGAACACCGGUGGCGAAGGCGGGUCUCUGGGCAGUAACUGACGCUGAGGAGCGAAAGCGUGGGGAGCGAACAGG